rnacentral:lncRNA from 1 species
UAUGGUAACUUCAUAAAAAUUAACGUCAGUGGCAAAAGACAAUAUUCACAAACUUUAAAGCAAAAACAAUAAAAUACUAUAAUAAUAUAAGUUCAUAACCCUGUUUAACCCACUUGCAUAUAUGCGGCUGUCUUUAUUUUAUUUUAUUUUCAACCCGAAUCAUGAAACUGUCGUCCAGCAGUCUUGCUUAUAUGUUUCUGUACCAUAUAUUUCCAGGCAUCUGAGAUUUCUAACGAUGUUUUUUCAUUUAACACUGUACCCUCUCCUUUGGCUUUCAAAAUUUCCAAACUCUCCGCCAUUAGUGCAUGCGAUGCUUUUGCUAUCGGUCGUAUAAUCUUCGCCUCUUCCCAACCUAUCUCUAC